rnacentral:rRNA from 1 species
GCAUAUCAAUAAGCGGAGGAAAAGAAACCAACAGGGAUUGCCUCAGUAACGGCGAGUGAAGCGGCAAGAGCUCAAAUUUGAAAGCUGGCCCCCUCGGGGUCCGCGUUGUAAUUUGCAGAGGAUGCUUCGGGUGCAGCCCCCGUCUAAGUGCCCUGGAACGGGCCGUCAUAGAGGGUGAGAAUCCCGUCUGGGACGGGGUGUCUGCGUCCGUGUGAAGCUCCUUCGACGAGUCGAGUUGUUUGGGAAUGCAGCUCUAAAUGGGUGGUAAAUUUCAUCUAAAGCUAAAUACUGGCCGGAGACCGAUAGCGCACAAGUAGAGUGAUCGAAAGAUGAAAAGCACUUUGAAAAGAGAGUUAAACAGCACGUGAAAUUGUUGAAAGGGAAGCGUUUGCGACCAGACUCGCCCGCGGGGUUCAGCCGGCACUCGUGCCGGUGUACUUCCCCGUGGGCGGGCCAGCGUCGGUUUGGGCGGCCGGUCAAAGGCCCUCGGAAUGUAUCACCUCUCGGGGUGUCUUAUAGCCGAGGGUGCAAUGCGGCCUGCCCGGACCGAGGAACGCGCUUCGGCUCGGACGCUGGCGUAAUGGUCGUAAAUGACCCGUCUUGAAACACGGACCAAGGAGUCUAACAUCUACGCGAGUGUUCGGGUGUCAAACCCGUACGCGCAGUGAAAGCGAACGGAGGUGGGAGCCCCCUCGUGGGGCGCACCAUCGACCGAUCCUGAUGUCUUCGGAUGGAUUUGAGUACGAGCGUAGCUGUGGGGACCCGAAAGAUGGUGAACUAUGCCUGAAUAGGGCGAAGCCAGAGGAAACUCUGGUGGAGGCUCGCAGCGGUUCUGACGUGCAAAUCGAUCGUCAAAUUUGGGUAUAGGGGCGAAAGACUAAUCGAACCAUCUAGUAGCUGGUUCCUGCGA